AUUUUCUUAAUCAUAAUGAUUACCAGGAAAGUAUGGGUACAGAGCUCCAACCCAUAUACAAUUAGGCUGACUCUUAAAAAACUACAAACAAUUCUAAAGGAUGAUUCUCCCACGGAUCCUGAUUGUUUCAAUAUGGUCGUGUGCAAAUUUAUGUUUGAUGACAUCCAAACGGCCAAAAAGAAAAAGGGAUUGAUAUCAAAACAUUAUCUAGACAUGCAAUUUUGGGUAUGUUCACCAUAUAUAUUUCUUAUAUAUAAUCUAUUUUUAUAA
rnacentral:rRNA from 1 species